GGCAAGAUGGCCGAGUGGUUAAGGCGGCAGGUUUAAGAAUUAUCCCUGCUGGAGCAAUCCUCCUGGGUUCGAACCCCAGUCUUGUCA